UGUAAUCACAGCAGUCAGGCGGCGAGUGAUAAAAUCCGUCGUCAAGAGGGAAACAACCCAGACUAACAGCUAAGGUCCCCAAAUCUUACUUAAGUGGAAAACGAUGUGAAGUUACUUAAACAACCAGGAGGUUGGCUUAGAAGCAGCCAUCCUUUAAAGAAAGCGUAAUAGCUCACUGGUCUAGUGAUUUUGCGCGGAAAAUAUAACGGGGCUAAAGUAAGUACCGAAGCUUUAGACUUGCACACAACUUAGAUGAUUUAAAUUUAAAAUAUGAGAAACUAAAUUUAUUUUUAUUUAUUUUUUGCUUAUCUUUAUUCAUUUUUAUAGAGUAAAGAUAAAAACAAAAACUUCGUAAAAAUAAUAAAAUAUAGUAAAAAACAAUAAAAAUAUUCUUAGAUUAAAAGAGUUAAGUCGUUUAAGUUGUGUGCAAUGUGGUAGGAGAGCGUUCUAUUUGCGUCGAAGGUAUACCGACAAGGAGUGCUGGAGCGAAUAGAAGUGAGCAUGCAGGCAUGAGUAGCGAUAAUUAAUGUGAGAAUCAUUAACGCCGUAAACCCAAGGUUUCCUACGCGAUGCUCGUCAUCGUAGGGUUAGUCGGGUCCUAAGCUGAGUCCGAAAGGGGUAAGCGAUGGCAAAUAGGUUAAUAUUCCUAUACCAACAUUAGUGUGCGAUGGAAGGACGCUUAGGGCUAAGGGGGCUAGCGGAUGGAAGUGCUAGUCUAAGGUCGUAGGAGCUUAUACAGGAAAAUCCGUAUAAGAAUACUCCGAGAACUGAAAGGCUUUUUGAAGUCUUCGGAUGGAAAGAAGAACCCCUGAUGCCGUCGAGCCAAGAAAAGUUUCUAAGUUUAGCUAAUGUUGCCCGUACCGUAAACCGACACAGGUGGGUGGGAUGAGUAUUCUAAGGCGCGUGGAAGAACUCUCUUUAAGGAACUCUGCAAAAUAGCACCGUAUCUUCGGUAUAAGGUGUGCCUCCCUUUGUAUUAGGAUUUACUCCGAAAGCAAAGAAGGUUACAACAAAGAGUCCCUCCCGACUGUUUACCAAAAACACAGCACUCUGCUAACUCGUAAGAGGAUGUAUAGGGUGUGACGCCUGCCCGGUGCUCGAAGGUUAAUUGAUGGGGUUAGCAUUAGCGAAGCUCUUGAUCGAAGCCCGAGUAAACGGCGGCCGUAACUAUAACGGUCCUAAGGUAGCGAAAUUCCUUGUCGGUUAAAUACCGACCUGCAUGAAUGGCGUAACGAGAUGGGAGCUGUCUCAAAGAGGGAUCCAGUGAAAUUGUAGUGGAGGUGAAAAUUCCUCCUACCCGCGGCAAGACGGAAAGACCCCGUGGACCUUUACUACAGCUUGACACUGCUAUUUGGAUAAGAAUGUGCAGGAUAGGUGGGAGGCUUUGAGUAUAUGACGCCAGUUGUAUAUGAGCCAUUGUUGAGAUACCACUCUUUCUUAUUUGGGUAGCUAACCAGCUUGAGUUAUCCUCAAGUGGGACAAUGUCUGGUGGGUAGUUUGACUGGGGCGGUCGCCUCCCAAAUAAUAACGGAGGCUUACAAAGGUUGGCUCAUAGCGGUUGGAAAUCGCUAGUAGAGUAUAAAGGUAUAAGCCAGCUUAACUGCAAGACAUACAAGUCAAGCAGAGACGAAAGUCGGUCUUAGUGAUCCGGUGGUUCUGUGUGGAAGGGCCAUCGCUCAAAGGAUAAAAGGUACCCCGGGGAUAACAGGCUGAUCUCCCCCAAGAGCUCACAUCGACGGGGAGGUUUGGCACCUCGAUGUCGGCUCAUCGCAUCCUGGGGCUGGAGCAGGUCCCAAGGGUAUGGCUGUUCGCCAUUUAAAGCGGUACGCGAGCUGGGUUCAGAACGUCGUGAGACAGUUCGGUCCCUAUCUGCCGUGGGCGUAAGAAGAUUGAAGAGAUUUGACCCUAGUACGAGAGGACCGGGUUGAACAAACCACUGGUGUAGCUGUUGUUCUGCCAAGAGCAUCGCAGCGUAGCUAAGUUUGGAAAGGAUAAACGCUGAAAGCAUCUAAGCGUGAAGCCAACUCUAAGAUGAAUCUUCUCUAAGCUCUCUAGAAGACUACUAGUUUGAUAGGCUGGGUGUGUAAUGGAUGAAAGUCCUUUAGCUGACCAGUACUAAUAGAGCGUUUGGCUUAUCUUA
rnacentral:rRNA from 1 species